rnacentral:rRNA from 3 species
UACGUAGGGGGCAAGCGUUGUCCGGAUUUAUUGGGCGUAAAGAGCGUGUAGGCGGUCAGGUAGGUCGGUUGUGAAAACUGGAGGCUCAACCUUCAGAGGUCGACCGAAACCCCCUGGCUAGAGUCCGGGAGAGGAGAGUGGAAUUCCUGGUGUAGCGGUGAAAUGCGCAGAUAUCAGGAAGAACACCCGUGGCGAAAGCGGCUCUCUGGAACGGUACUGACGCUGAGACGCGAAAGCGUGGGGAGCGAACAGG